UACAAACUAGGGAAAUCAAAUUCAGAGAGAACAUCAGCUACUCAAUGUAGAAGGGAUGGGGUAAGAGAAGAGAACAAGCACUCCAACCCAGAUGUCCUACUAUCAAGUUUAUCUUCCAAUGUCUCUGGCUGACACAUGGAGCAGACAGCAUUGUGUGAUGACACUUCAGUGAUGGCAGGAGACAGACACUGGAGAGAGAGCCGGGUAAG
rnacentral:lncRNA from 1 species